rnacentral:lncRNA from 1 species
CUUGCUCUCUCCAUCUGCUGCUGAAUUAUGAAGGCAGGACUAGCAGCUGCCACUAAAAAAGGGAAGACAUUUGGAGUCAGAGUGACCAAUUUGGAAAGGACAAAGGAAUGAACACUGAAUUUUAGGAGGAACUCAGAAGAGCAGAGGUAAAAGGCCACAGUGAACAGAAAGUAAAACAGGGGAAAGCUAAGGAUUCAGGUGCUGCAGG